rnacentral:rRNA from 1 species
UACGAAGGGGGCUAGCGUUGCUCGGAAUCACUGGGCGUAAAGGGUGCGUAGGCGGGUCUUUUAAGUCAGGGGUGAAAUCCUGGAGCUCAACUCCAGAACUGCCUUUGAUACUGGAGAGCUUGAGUCCGGGAGAGGUGAGUGGAACUCCUGGUGUAGCGGUGGAAUGCGCAGAUAUCAGGAAGAACACCAACGGCGAAGGCAGCUCGCUAGGACGGAACUGACGCUGAGGCGCGAAAGCGUGGGGAGCAAACAGG